ensembl:lncRNA
UGAGAUGGGAAUGAGAGCACAGGCCCUGUGGCAGCAGAUCCCUGUGGCUAAGGAUCGGCUUUCAUAUGUGCCUGCCUCUGUCAGAGCGUGAAGGCAGAUCUAGUGAUGGGCAUAGGAGUGGGCAGGAUCUCAGAGAUGGGCUGUGCUGGAAAAGCCUGCUGAAAUAGGACAGCUCAAAGGAUGGAACCAGGACUCAUGUAAGGGGAAGAUCAGGGACUGAUUAUUAGGAAAACGAAAGCAAAAAAUGCAAAAGAGCUUGCAAAAAAGAGUAAGUGAUGUCACUGAAAGUUCUGGAACGCAAGAUGAAUUGGGGGACAUCAGUAGCACCCUGGGCAUUGGGCCCACCAAGCACACACAAGUCAGCGUUAAGCCUGUCAUCUACACUAGCACUCCCAGUGAUCCAAAUAAAAUGCACAAGCCCGGUUCACUCCUCUUUCACUACCUAGGAUGCUUCAGUGGUGCCCACGUUCUCCACCUAAGUAGGGACCGUGGGUCUCCUCCGCCCUGCUACACCCACAUCCAUCCCCUCUAUGGUCAGGACAGUACUUCCUGGUUGACAGUCCACAGUGGUAAUUUCUCAGAAUCCACGGACUACACCGAGCCUUCUUCCUACCUACUGCUUCCCUGCCCCACCACCCCAAGCUGCUGGCACUGUGAAAGCUUAUACAAGGUUUCACAGAAACAUGAAAUGCCAGGUUUUAACAUGUGGACCAUCUUCGAUAUUUUAACUUCAGUUGGGGAGUUUUUCCCAAGGGGGAAGAAAGAGACAAAAACAGUUAAGUAUUCACUAACAAAUAUGCACUUUGCCAUCUUCCAUGCAGCACACUGUAACCGCUACAUCAACUGUCAAAUGUACAUCUGUCCACCUCCCAAGUUCAGUAGUUUGCCUUUUCCUUAACCUUGCCCUGUCUCAAAGGCUUUAUAUCCAAAGACAGCACAAAAUCCCCCAUCGGACCUGUAACCCUGGGGUCCCUGGUCCAGACAGGGACAGCGUGCCCCACUUCCCUCCUGCCUGCUCCCUUGGGGCUCUGCAGCUGCUUGCACCCUUCCUGCCACUGCAGUCGCCUGCUUUGCUCAACUCUCACUUUCUCCGUUUCUCAUCUUUGUGCAACACCAAUCCGAGUGCCUUUUACUUUCUUAAAAGAAUCAGACUUUCAGCUACCUUUUGCUGCAGCAUGAAGAGCUCUUCCAUCAGUGAGUUGUUGCUGUGACAGCCGAAGCUCUUAGUUGGGUCUUGUUCCUCCCCUUCUUGUCCCAUUUCAGUUACUGGCCUUGCUCAGGGAGCCUCUGUUCACCAGGUCUUUUAAGUUACACUGUGAAGCUAGAUUACUCCCCCUUCCAUCAGCCUGUCUUUACACACACAAAAAUAUGGUCCUUGGAUAAAAACUUUUUGCUGCCCAGCUCUAGACCUCUGAAAUGCCAACUAACUGGAAAAAAGUUACUGAAAAGAUGCUUCAAAGUUUGGGGAAAUCACUAAGCUAUUAGUUAAACCUAUACAAGUAUCAAAAUUACAUUUUGUAAAUACCUACACACA